rnacentral:rRNA from 1 species
GACGAACGCUGGCGGCGUGCUUAACACAUGCAAGUCGAGCGGUAAGGCCCUUUCGGGGUACGACGAGCGGCGAACGGGUGAGUAACACGUGGGUGACCUGCCCUCAGCUCUGGGAUAAGCCCGGGAAACGUAGGGUCUAAUACCGGAUAUGACUCCAUGACGCAUGUUGUGGGGUGGAAAGCCUUGUGCGGCUGAGGAUGGGCCCGCGGCCUAUCAGCUUGUUGGUGGGGUGAUGGCCUACCAAGGCGACGACGGGUAGCCGGCCUGAGAGGCGACCGGCCACACUGGGACUGAGAUACGGCCCAGACUCCUACGGGAGGCAGCAGUGGGGAAUCUUGCGCAAUGGGCGAAAGCCUGACGCAGCGACGCCGCGUGAGGGAUGACGG